rnacentral:lncRNA from 1 species
AACUUCAGAGUUUGCUACAGCUAAUAUACUUCAGAGUUUGCUACAGCUAAUAUAUAGGUGGAACAUUCAGAGAUAAACAUGCAACCAGAAACAAUAAUCAGCAGGGUUCAAAAUAAUAUAGUGUGAGCCUGUUUAUUGUCAUAGAAACAACAAGAAGCUUACAAGCAUAGCAAGGAACUCUAAAAUGCUUCACCAAUGCAAUAAGAACCACAUAUAUCCUUAAGCAAACAUAUAGUGAAACUAAGCUAAUACACACAAAGAACCAGUAACAUAGCAGGUAGUCGGCUACCAAAUCUGUGAAAAUAAUUAUAUUGGCAUGUGGAGGCCAUUUUCUCUGUAUUAGAUAGUUUAAUCAGAGGGCCACCCAUAACUCUAUAAGCAUCCUGUACAUACAUGGUAUGGCUAUACAUAACACUUCUACUAUAUACAUGGAGCAGAACUAAAGAUGAGCAACGCUACAUGCACUGAAGCAAUAAAAUGAAGUAUUUUAGAGUUGCCAGCAGGACUUCACUAAUCACUAGGGACUAUCUCACCUCAACAGAUCAGAACACUAUAGUUGGGGACGACAGAUCAGCCAUCAGGACAGGACCUCACCUCACCAGAUCACCAGUUGGUAACAUACUGUUGCCCACAUCCCUAGUAACAAAGCCUCACUUAGCAAAAAAAAAGGGACAUGUCAAAUUCAUCAGGUUGUCGCUUGUUACAGAAAUAGUGGAUUAAAAAUGCAGAACACUUAGAAUAGAUUAUUGACAUUCACGCGCAAGAGACAAAAAAAUAUUGCAAUAAGCAUAAAUUAUUUACUAAUUUUCUCUCAGACGAUUCUUUAAUCAUAGCAACAAGCACAUACAUCCUACAACUAUAAAAUCUCACGGAUCUGAUACUCCAAAAAGUUUCUAGAGAACUAAUAAUGCAGUGUAAAGCUGUCGAGCAACAAAUCCUUGCAGAUAUUUGCGUGGUUUGUUAUAUGCUCACAGACAUUCAUCACAAACCUUCCAUCUUUGCACGCAGAUGAUUGAAUCCAAUUGGCGCCCUGAAGAAUGUCUGUGAGCACAUAACAAACUAAACCAUACACAAAGCACUAGUCAAGCAAUCUGUCAAAGACUUCAUAGGCAACCAGGCCAAAUAAAAAAUCAAAUACAAAAUCACUCAGCAUGCAU